UUGAGCGGAGAUAUAUGGAGCUUGCUUUAUAUAACUUAGCAGCGAACGGGUGAGUAACACGUAGAUAAUCUAUCCUAUACUGGGGGAUAGCCCGAUGAAAGUUGGAUUAAUACCGCAUAUAGCUAUAUAGUUGCAUGAUUAUGUAGUGAAAGAUUUAUUGGUAUAGGAGGAGUCUGCGGCACAUUAGCUAGUAGGUGAGGUAAAGGCUUACCUAGGCGACGAUGUGUAGCCGGUCUGAGAGGAUGAACGGCCACAAUGGAACUGAGACACGGUCCAUACUCCUACGGGAGGCAGCAGUGGGGAAUAUUGCACAAUGGGGGAAACCCUGAUGCAGCAACGCCGCGUGAGUGAAGAAGGUUUUCGGAUUGUAAAGCUCUGUUAGCAGGGAAGAGGAAGGACGGUUCCUGCAGAGGAAGCCACGGCUAACUACGUGCCAGCAGCCGCGGUAAUACGUAGGUGGCAAGCGUUGUUCGGAAUAACUGGGCGUAAAGGACGCGUAGGCGGUUAAACAAGUUAUAUGUUAAAUAUAUAGGCUUAACCUGUAGAAAGCAUAUAAAACUGUUUAACUAGAGUGCAGGAGAGGUAAGUGGAAUUCCUAGUGUAGCGGUGAAAUGCGUAGAGAUUAGGAAGAACACCAGUGGCGAAGGCGACUUACUGGACUGUAACUGACGCUGAGGCAUGAGAGCAUGGGGAGCAAACAGGAUUAGAUACCCUGGUAGUCCAUGCUGUAAACGAUGGGUACUAGGUGUGGGUUGUGAAUAACAAUUCGUGCCGUCGCAAACGCAAUAAGUACCCCGCCUG
rnacentral:rRNA from 1 species